AUUGAACGCUGGCGGCAGGCUUAACACAUGCAAGUCGAGCGGGGGAAGGUAGCUUGCUACCGGACCUAGCGGCGGACGGGUGAGUAAUGCUUAGGAAUCUGCCUAUUAGUGGGGGACAACAUCUCGAAAGGGAUGCUAAUACCGCAUACGUCCUACGGGAGAAAGCAGGGGAUCUUCGGACCUUGCGCUAAUAGAUGAGCCUAAGUCGGAUUAGCUAGUUGGUGGGGUAAAGGCCUACCAAGGCGACGAUCUGUAGCGGGUCUGAGAGGAUGAUCCGCCACACUGGGACUGAGACACGGCCCAGACUCCUACGGGAGGCAGCAGUGGGGAAUACUGGACAAUAGGGGGAACCCUGAUCCAGCCAUGCCGCGUGUGUGAAGAAGGCCUUAUGGUUGUAAAGCACUUUAAGCGAGGAGGAGGCUACUUUAGUUAAUACCUAGAGAUAGUGGACGUUACUCGCAGAAUAAGCACCGGCUAACUCUGUG
rnacentral:rRNA from 1 species